AACGAACGCUGGCGGCAUGCCUAACACAUGCAAGUCGAACGAGACCUUCGGGUCUAGUGGCGCACGGGUGCGUAACGCGUGGGAAUCUACCCUCAGGUUCGGAAUAACUCAGAGAAAUUUGAGCUAAUACCGGAUGAUGACGUAAGUCCAAAGAUUUAUCGCCUGAGGAUGAGCCCGCUUAGGAUUAGGUAGUUGGUGAGGUAAAGGCUCACCAAGCCGACGAUCCUUAGCUGGUCUGAGAGGAUGAUUAGCCACUCUGGGACUGAGACACGGUCCAGACUCCUACGGAGGGCAGCAGUGAGGAAUCUUGCACCAUGGGCUCAGGGCUAGUCCAGCUAUGACGCGUGAGUUAUCAAGGCCUUAGGGUUCUAAAGCUCUUUUACCCGGGAUGUUGAUGACAGUACCGCGAGAAUAAGCCCCGGCUAACUCCGUG
rnacentral:rRNA from 1 species